rnacentral:rRNA from 1 species
UCCGUAGGUGAACCUGCGGAANGAUCAUUA